AGAGUUUGAUCAUGGCUCAGGAUGAACGCUAGCUGGAGGCUUAAUACAUGCAAGUCGAGCGGGAUUGGUAGCAAUACCAUGAGAGCGGCGCACGGGUGAGUAACGCGUACACGACCUACCUCUGACAGGGGGAUAGCCCUGGGAAACUGGGAUUAAUACCGCAUAUUAUUCUGAUUAAUAAAGGAUUGGAAUGAAAGUUCAGGCGGUCAGAGAUGGGUGUGCGUCUGAUUAGCUAGUUGGUAGGGUAACGGCCUACCAAGGCGAUGAUCAGUAGGGGGCGUGAGAGCGUGAUCCCCCACACGGGUACUGAGACACGGACCCGACUCCUACGGGAGGCAGCAGUAAGGAAUAUUGGACAAUGGCCGCAAGGCUGAUCCAGCCAUCCAGCGUGCAGGAAGAAGGCCCUAUGGGUUGUAAACUGCUUUUAUCAGGGAAUAAACCUCUGGAUUCACUCCGGAGCUGAAGGUACCUGAAGAAUAAG
rnacentral:rRNA from 1 species